UUUCCCGGCUGCAACUACGGUAAGCGGUAUCCAGCCGAUGUUUUCAAUACUGCAUUUGAAUACACGUGCACGGAUAACGCUCAUUGUUUUUCGCAUGCCAAUUU
rnacentral:pre_miRNA from 15 species